rnacentral:pre_miRNA from 1 species
UGGGCUUCACAAUAGUCGAAUACCUUAAAUUUCAAAAUUUGGAUAUUCGUUGUUGAUGAAGCCUUGA